UCGAAUCGAUCAGAUUCCAGAUCGCUUAGAUCUACUUUGAUUUUAUUUUGUUUUUGUCGGAUAUAGGGUUUAUAAUUUGCUCUUUGGAUGAAUAUAUUGCUUUUGUUUAUUGGUGGUGUUAGUACUCUACUUUGAAUGUUCCGAUUUCAAUGUAUUUCUCCCUCAAUUGUUCACAUUCUAGAUUUCGGAAUCGGAAUGAUUGUGUUAGUGAAAUAAGCCGCAUCACUUCCAAAUGAAAACUUCAAAGUCACUGUAACUGAGACUUGCUCUUCCGCCCUGUUCCGUUUCUUCUCUGCAACUCCAUACACACAAGACCAACAGAUAGAGGAAAAAAGAAAAUCCAAAAGGCAUAUAUUAAUUUUGAAAUAUCAAAGGGUGUGGUUGAAUGGAUCAGAGAGCUUGAUAAGAGACUUAUAGACAUAUUAAAGCAUUUGAAGGUCUGGAUAAGCCAUAAAAAGUUGGAGGUUACUUUUAACUUUGUGCCUAGAUAGAAUAAACCACUCAAAUUUCUUAUAUUGGUGUAAAUUUCUUAUAUUGGUGUACUGUUUUAAGAGAUUUGAGCUUUUAUAGGACUUUGAACUUCUGUGAAUAUUCAUGUAUUACUUAAGGUUUUUUUUUUUUU